rnacentral:sRNA from 1 species
UUCCGUAGGUGAACCUGCGGAAGGAUCAUUACUGAGUGAGGGCCCUCUGGGUCCAACCUCCCACCCGUGUUUAUUGUACCUUGUUGCUUCGGUGCGCCCGCCUCACGGCCGCCGGGGGGCUUCUGCCCCCGGGUCCGCGCGCACCGGAGACACUAUUGAACUCUGUCUGAAGAUUGCAGUCUGAGCAUAAACUAAAUAAGUUAAAACUUUCAACAACGGAUCUCUUGGUUCCGGCAUCGAUGAAGAACGCAGCGAAAUGCGAUAACUAAUGUGAAUUGCAGAAUUCAGUGAAUCAUCGAGUCUUUGAACGCACAUUGCGCCCCCUGGUAUUCCGGGGGGCAUGCCUGUCCGAGCGUCAUUGCUGCCCUCAAGCACGGCUUGUGUGUUGGGCUCCGUCCCCCCGGGGACGGGUCCGAAAGGCAGCGGCGGCACCGAGUCCGGUCCUCGAGCGUAUGGGGCUUUGUCACCCGCUCUGUAGGCCCGGCCGGCGCCAGCCGACAACCAAUCAUCCUUUUUCAGGUGACCUCGGAUC